AUGCCAUGCCAAGUUUGCUUACAACACGACUGUCAUUGGCCUGAUCACCGAUGGCGACGAGACGACGUACAGAGAGGAGGUCAAAGCCCUGACAUCUUGGUGCCACCAUCCAGAGAGACGGAAGAGCAGAGAGACUUACAAGAGUGGCCUCCUCUCAAAUGCGACCAGUCUAUCAGGGCUUCACUCCACUAUCCAUGUCCCAAAGCCACUCUUCCAGACGCCGUAUGUCCGACCUGCCAGACACUCAACCUGCAGACGCACAGCGGCAUCUCUGACUGGACAUUCGCCUGCCUCUAAUGUGCCCUCAAGGAAAGAAAAAUCUCAUUCCACUGGCCUGCCUGCCUGCCCCAUUAUUCUCUCACCAUCUGUCUACUGGAGAGUAUUGUAUAAAUAAAUUAUUUAAACUUACUCCGUUUCCAGAGUCUAGUGCGCCUGGGUCUUCUCUGGACGUACCCAUAACACACCAAAGGCUAUUCACAUUUCUUAUCCUCUUGUGCGCAUGUCAAUACAUAUUUGUCCACUCAGAAAUAAGUAUCUCCUGAUUGAAAUAGCAUGUAGAAGUAAAACUGCAAGAUCAUUAACCAAACUUUAACAAGUGUGUUUGAAUAAAGUUAAUU
rnacentral:lncRNA from 1 species